AAAUAUGUGAAGUUUUUCUCUUAUCCCUUUUUGUCUUUUGUUGAAUAUCACAUAUGAUAUUCUCAUAAGAAUCUUUAAGUAUAACCCUGUUUCAUGAUUUCUUGUGUCUUUCGAUUUCUAGUCCUGAAGAUUUUGGAUCAGAAGUGUAUGGCUAUGCUCAGCACUGUCACUCGUUGCCAAGACAUGAUAACUGAGAUGAUUACCUGUGCUGUUACUGAAGGGGAUGACAAUCACGGUGAGUGCUUUCACUACUUUGUAUAAUGUGACCUGUUCUGUUCAAGAUUUUAGGAUGUUCUGGGAAGGUUCUCUAGUCAAACUAUUUGACAGCCUGCUUUUGGAUAGUGAGCCCUUGGGGUCAAGAAACAAGUAUUUCUUGAGCUUUUGUUUGUUCAGUUUGAAAUGGACUACAGUAUUAAAAUGUUUUCAAUCAAGUUGUUUAGAAUAUUGAUUAGAUUCAAGUUUGGGAGGUUUGACCUUCUGGAUUCCCGGAGUUAAGCAAUGCUGGUUAUGCGGCACCUUAGAUCCUAUCACAAGAGCUGCUGUUACACAUGGUAAAGAUUGUGGCAUGGUAUCUAAAAGUGAGAAGUUAAGAGUAUAUCAUAUAUUCCUUUACAUUCGUUUUUGUUAUUUAUGGAUGACUUAGUGGAAUCCAGUGACAUGAUCACAUCACAGUUCAUCAUCCUGGCAGAAAGCAACUCGAUUCCUACAUGGGAGAUUUUCCAAUUGAGAACAGGUGAAUUGUGAAACAAGGUAUGAUUGAUGUUAUUUAACAGGUUAAAAACUCCUCCUGUAGAUUUUUUGCUAACUUUGACAGAUAACAUCCAUUACAACAAAAACAAUUAGAUAAGACAGGAAGGCCACUUCUCUACUCCCGUCGUUCCAUCAUUAAAUAUUAAUUUCACUGUGAUUUAUUAUAUAAUAAUGGUGAAAAUUGAUUGAAUAACAGCUGUGCUUAGAAGGAUAAUAUGCAUACUGAUUUACUAUAUCUAGGUAGGUGAUUAGACUAUAAUUAGAAGUAAUAAGAAACUCCUCUUUUGGAGCCUAAUAAAACAUUGGUAAUUGUUAUAAUGACAGUACGGAAUUUUUUUGUUGGAUGUAAACCAAACAUAUCCCACUAAUAUUGUGAUCAUCCACAACGAUAAGCAACUUUUUUUUGUUUUUUUAAAAAAAUGAAGUUAUAACGGCGUUUUUAAACGUCACUAUAGAAUACCAACGGUUACAUUUUGAAAAUAAAAUUGACCUAUCACGGCGUUUUUAAAACGUCGAUAAAUGAGUAGUGACGUCAUUGUACAAUUAUGCAGCACAUUUAGCGGCGUUUUUAAAAACGC